GAAAGAUAGUCAGCUUUAAUGCCCCUCUGUUUUAAUGUCAUGACCUGAUCUUGCAUCAAAGAGAUGAGUGGACUUAUAACAACAGCAACCUUUCCGGUUAUCAGUGGGGGAAUCACAAUGAUUUGCCACUACCGGUGGCCAUUAUAACCAAACAGUCUUUUCCAUCUAAAAUCUUCUCAAUAAUUUCCUUUUGAUAAGGUCGAAACUCAGUGUAUCCAAAAUAUUUCUUAAGUGUAGACUUCAUGUCCAUUAUCAAGAGGAGCGAAU
rnacentral:misc_RNA from 1 species